AAGCUAGCCUUCGGGUUCGCAUUGUAAUUUGUAGAGGAUGAUUUGGGGAAGCCGCCUGUCUAAGUUCCUUGGAACAGGACGUCAUAGAGGGUGAGAAUCCCGUAUGUGACAGGAAAUGGCACCCUAUGUAAAUCUCCUUCGACGAGUCGAGUUGUUUGGGAAUGCAGCUCUAAAUGGGAGGUAAAUUUCUUCUAAAGCUAAAUAUUGGCGAGAGACCGAUAGCGCACAAGUAGAGUGAUCGAAAGAUGAAAAGCACUUUGGAAAGAGAGUUAAAAAGCACGUGAAAUUGUUGAAAGGGAAGCGCUUGCAAUCAGACUUGUUUAAACUGUUCGGCCGGUCUUCUGACCGGUUUACUCAGUUUGGACAGGCCAGCAUCAGUUUCGGCGGCCGGAUAAAGGCUCUGGGAAUGUGGCCUCCACUUCGGUGGAGGUGUUAUAGCCCAGGGUGUAAUACGGCCAGCCGGGACUGAGGUCCGCGCUUCGGCUAGGAUGCUGGCGUAAUGGU
rnacentral:rRNA from 1 species